GCGGCGUGCUUAACACAUGCAAGUCGAACGGUGAACACGGAGCUUGCUCUGUGGGAUCAGUGGCGAACGGGUGAGUAACACGUGAGCAACCUGCCCCUGACUCUGGGAUAAGCGCUGGAAACGGCGUCUAAUACUGGAUAUGUGACGUGACCGCAUGGUCUGCGUUUGGAAAGAUUUUUCGGUUGGGGAGGGGCUCGCGGCCUAUCAGCUUGUUGGUGAGGUAAUGGCUCACCAAGGCGUCGACGGGUAGCCGGCCUGAGAGGGUGACCGGCCACACUGGGACUGAGACACGGCCCAGACUCCUACGGGAGGCAGCAGUGGGGAAUAUUGCACAAUGGGCGAAAGCCUGAUGCAGCAACGCCGCGUGAGGGAUGACGGCCUUCGGGUUGUAAACCUCUUUUAGCAGGGAAGAAGCGAAAGUGACGGUACCUGCAGAAAAAGCGCCGGCUAACUACGUGCCAGCAGCCGCGGUAAUACGUAGGGCGCAAGCGUUAUCCGGAAUUAUUGGGCGUAAAGAGCUCGUAGGCGGUUUGUCGCGUCUGCUGUGAAAUCCCGAGGCUCAACCUCGGGCCUGCAGUGGGUACGGGCAGACUAGAGUGCGGUAGGGGAGAUUGGAAUUCCUGGUGUAGCGGUGGAAUGCGCAGAUAUCAGGAGGAACACCGAUGGCGAAGGCAGAUCUCUGGGCCGUAACUGACGCUGAGGAGCGAAAGGGUGGGGAGCAAACAGGCUUAGAUACCCUGGUAGUCCACCCCGUAAACGUUGGGAACUAGUUGUGGGGUCCAUUCCACGGAUUCCGUGACGCAGCUAACGCAUUAAGUUCCCCGCCUGGGGAGUACGGCCGCAAGGCUAAAACUCAAAGGAAUUGACGGGGACCCGCACAAGCGGCGGAGCAUGCGGAUUAAUUCGAUGCAACGCGAAGAACCUUACCAAGGCUUGACAUAUACGAGAACGGGCCAGAAAUGGUCAACU
rnacentral:rRNA from 1 species